rnacentral:piRNA from 1 species
UACCAUUUGCUGUUGUUGGAAGUAUGG